UGCGGCCGUGGCGGAAUUGGCAGACGCGCCAGACUAAGGAUCUGGUGCCCGUUUUAGGGCGUGGAGGUUCAAGUCCUCUCGGCCGCAUC
rnacentral:tRNA from 1 species